rnacentral:lncRNA from 1 species
GACGAUUCAAAUAUCAGUCAACAAAAUCAACCCCAAGAUACGACUUUCUCUUCUCUUCCGGUUCAUCGUCUUCAUCAACAGUAAGGGGCACACACACACACACAAAAACUCCAUAGAUUACUCAAACUCCAAUCACUCCUCUGCAUCUCCCAUCUCCACCACCCUAAAACCAACCGAAUUUCAUGCUUGCAGAUUUCUGUCACCACAUCAAUCAUCUCAACAGUUUCCUAGCCAUAUCUAAAUGGCUAAUUUCAACCUUCCACUAGCAAGUGAGGAUGUAAAGUCUCAAAAAUUGCGAAUACACUUCAAUAUCAUUGGAGAAAGAUUAUUCAUAUCUUAAUAACCAACUUGCCCUUUGGUUGGGUUUCUUGACUUUUUCCUUAUUUAUCUUAUCUUCUCUAUCUACCAAAUAUAUUCAGAGAAGUGACCUAUUAUUUUACUUUUAUUUUUGAAUUCGAGAGAUAAUUUUUCAAAUUAGAGGAGUUUUAAUUUUACAUUAUAAAUAGGGCCUCAAAUGCUCUUAAGAAGGGAGGGGGGAAAAGGGGGAUCAAAAGAGAUUAGAAAAAGAAAAAUAAGAAAUCGGAGUGAGAGGUUUGGAAGUGAAGAAAAAAAUGUCAAAAAAGAGAGAGUGAAAAUCAACCUCAAUGUGUGUUUGUGACUUGUGAUUUAACUUGACUAAAUUCUAUCCCGCAUUAAUUACAUGAUUCUUAGUUUGUCUUUGUGAUUCACUAGUUGUGUUUGGUUUGGGAGUUAGUUGUUCUAAUCAAUUUGUUAUGAACACAAAAAAUAUGAAACGAAAUAAUUUUUGGUCGUUUAGUUUAGUAGCCUUCUCUUGAUUGAGUGGUCGCAAAAUAUUUACAACUUGUGAUAUAGUGUUGAGUUGGUUCUAUGAGAUUCUCAAUGUUGUGUCUGGUUAGUGGCUCAUUAUAAGAUCUUUUCUAUGUUGGUUUGGACAUUUCAAAUAGGCUAGUAGUUGCUUAUUUUUUGCUUUGGUUUGGCAUGAAGAAGCUUCAAAAAUGCUGAAAAUUAAUGUAAGUUGGUUGUCUGUCAUCAAAUCUUUGUAAACUUUGCUUGACUACUUGAAUAUGGAACCAAUCGCUUGAUGUGUCUCAAACUCGCUGCACACUUGAUAGGAAAAUCCAGCUUCUAAUAUAGUACAAAAAAGGUUUUAUAAGAUUUAAAUUGCAAAGUAGGAUUAAUGGUUUGGCUUGAGAUCGUUACACUGUUUGUUGGGGAGCCAUAGUAACAGCUAAUUAACAGAGAGGCUGCGUUAGUUUCUUCUAAAAUUUCUUUUGAUCAAGUCAUGGGAAGAAGGAAAAGGUUACUGUGCAUCGCAUAUAUGUUUGUUCAAACAGCCUGAUUGCUCACUCAAAACUCUUCUUGAAAGUACCUUGCUACUAUUCCGAUAAAAAUCAGCAAGUAAAAUGGUUUGAAGUGAUGCAUAGUUGUUGCCACUAUCCUUUGACUCUAUGGAUGAAAUGUGAUUUUUGACCCCUGAAAGUUAUUUUGCGCAUAAACAUGUGUGUUUGUUAAAUAUGUGUAUGUGUGCGAUUAUUUAGUGAGUAUCACUAGUCAUUUUUUAACAGAUUAUAUUUAAGAAAGUAAUUCCAUCUCGAUUCUCAUCUUCUUUCAACAUGUUGUUGUGUCACACUCAAAUAUUUGAGAUAUGAAUGAUUAGUCUCUUUGUUUCUCUUUUGUUUUGGUCUAUUUUAGCAAAUAUGUGUGGUUUUCCAGUUUCAAGAUUAUGCAUGAAUCAUCCAGACUUAUUUUGUUCGUUAAUUAUUCCGCCUCAUUUGUUGUCUUAUGUGACUGUCUAUGUGUAAAUAUAUAGUAUAUGUGAUUCUUAACGGAUAUGGUUUCAAAUCACUGGCAAAAUGAUAAUAGAAUGUUUAAAGUUUACUAAAAAAAGUAUAAAUUUUAGUUUGCUCAUCAUUUCAUAUCAUCAAAUUAUCUGUUCGGUGAAUUUUUGUUAAAUCUGUUAGCUUGUAUAUAGUCUGAACUAUCAUUUUAAAAAAAUCAGAGAGUAUGACUUCUCUUCUUACAUAUUUCUCUUGUAAGAUAUUUGGGAUUCAUAUGCCAGGUAGCUAUGUUUGUCAUAUAUUUUUGAGUCUAAUAAGGUACGAAACAGUCCUCUUAUUUCACCUUCGUCUCCUUCUUUGGUUUUCUAUUUUGGGUUAUGUGUAUACAUAAGCUAUUUGGUUUUCAAGCUUUAUUAAGAUCUUGUUGCCCGUUUAUCCUCUGUGAAUAAAGUUCAAUAAUGUGGUUUCAGCUUUUUUUUUUUGCAUUUACAUAUAUGAGAUGUGCACGUAUGAGUCUAUUUUUGUAAAGGCAAAAGGUCAUUGAGAGUACAAUCAAUACCAUACGUUGCUGAAUAUAAAAGACUCUAGGACUAGAAUUUUAGUCUCGUUCUUUAUUUGCUCGGUCUUUUCAGUUUGCAUAGAUAAAAGGGCAAGAAACUUGUUAUUUUUUUGUAGCUAAAUUGGCAGCUCAGUUUCUUCCUUUACUUGUUUGUGUUUCCAAGUGACGGACAGAUAUUAAAUCGUUCAAAGUUGUGUUAGUUAGCCACUAAUAUGAACUCUGUUUUUCCAUUUAUCCUUUAACUUCCUAUGUUAAAGUGUUUCAUUGUACUCACUCUCUCUUCAAAUUUUUUUACGUAUUUAAAUGAAAUUCUUUAUAUAAUUGAAAGAUCAGAGCACACGUCUGUAGAUAUGUGCAUUUUUUUGUAAAAACAUGUUUGGUUCUUCUAAAAUAAAGUUGUACAUGUUGGCUACAUCUUAAGUUUAUUUUUGUGCUCUACUGUCUUGAUUUCUGCUUCAUCUAUUCAUUUGGAACUCGUACCAUUUUUAAUACUAAUUUCCUUCUUUCAUAUGGACACUCAGGAGUUGGAGUUUCAAUCGAAACUCAAAUUUGAUCCAAAGAUUGGGUCAACGGCUGUAGAAGCUCAGAAAUUAAGUCACUAGGAGCCGGUUCCGUCGAAUGAAAUCUAUAGUAUCAAGUUCCUUACUUUUCUAAUCAUUUUCGUUAUCAUAUUUAUUUCUUUAACGUUGUAUUACGGUGAAUAUGUAUUUCAUGUGGUUGAUUGCUAUGGGUUAACAACUUUUUUUUUUGUUAAAAUUGGUUUUAACUAGCUCCCUG